UACAGAGGUCUCAAGCGUUGUUCGGAUUCAUUGGGCGUAAAGGGUGUGUAGGUGGCGCCGUAAGUCGGGUGUGAAAUUUCGGAGCUUAACUCCGAAACUGCAUUCGAUACUGCGGUGCUUGAGGACUGGAGAGGAGACUGGAAUUCAUGGUGUAGCGGUGAAAUGCGUAGAUAUCUGCAGGAACACCCGUGGCGAAAGCGGCGCGCUGGACCACUACUGACGCUGAGGAACGAAAGCUAGGGGAGCAAACAGG
rnacentral:rRNA from 1 species